CCUGGGUGGAGGGCCUGUAACCUGAGCCCCUCUGCCAAGGGCUGGCUUGGGCUUGGGCUUUGGCCCCAGGCCCCAGCAGUCUAACACCAACCCUGGCAACCCUAUUAAAACGGAGUUGCAAACCACUUUGAGGUCCCAACCCACAGUUUGAGAACUGCUGAUCUAGGGGGAGAAAAGCAAAGCA